rnacentral:ncRNA from 2 species
UUAACUUUGCGGCCGAUUGGUUCUGAAAGGCCCUCCGGGCCUGGAAGAUUAAAAGGGAAUCGGGUGAAAAUCCCGGACAGUCCCGCUGCUGUGAAGCUCCGCCAACCACUCGAAUUCUGUUGACCACUGAUUUAUGAAUUGGGAAGGUCUCGGGUGGGGAGUCAGUCAGAAGACCUGCCAUCAGUUUUUGUUUUUA